CCAGACUCCGCCCGGUGAUCCCGUCCCGGUGAUCCCGUCCCGGUGAUCCCGUCCCGGUGAUCCCGUCCCGGUGAUCGUGUCCCGGUGCGGUGCCACGGCGGAGCCGGCAGGGGGCGUCCCUUCCGCCCGUUCCCGUGAGCCUGGGCCCCGCCCGGUCCCCGAGCUCACCCGCUGUCGCCGUGGGGACCGGCUCGGGUUACGGGGGAUACGGGGCAUCCCCAGGGCGAAGAGGGGUUCCCGGGGGGCGAUGGGGCCCGGGGAUCCCCGGAGGGCAGAGGAUGGUGAGGAUCAGUGGGGUGGAGGAGUGUCCCAGGAGGAACAGAAGCUGCCAAGCGGACAAAAGAGCGAGCUGGGAGGGGUUCCACAUAGACCAUCAGCGGUAUCACCUCUGCAACAGCCUACUAAAUCCAUUCCUCCAUACCGUCCCUGCCUCCAGCUGGCUGCUGGAACACCACUCUUCUUCCCAGAGCCACUCCUGUGUGGAGUGGCACCAGGCACGGUGACAAAUUCCUCCGUGCUGCCAGUGCAAGCAGCAGUGCCUGAGGAGGCUGAAGGCAGUGGUGCAGACCUGCUGUCAGAACUGGCUGGACACGGUGAGGGCAGAACUCCAGGACACAGAAAAAACAAUGGAAAAUAAUCUGGGAAGCUAGUUGCUCACAUCACUGUGAAAUGAGUCUACACAGUCAUGUUACCUUUGCUUUCCAUCCUCGGUUAAAGACACUGUGUUGAUCUUACAAAUGUCAAACAAUUCCAUUUCUGAGAAUGAAUCCCAUUUGCCCUGUGGGGAUGCUCUUCCCAUCAGCCUGCCGUGAGGGAGAGAACCCUGUGACACACGGGAACCUGUGCUGGGGGCGAGGGGGGAGGUCUGCUCAUGGGAUUAUUCUUUCCUGCUGCAUUCCAGCUCCUGCCCCCCGGGUGCACACACAUUUUUUUAUGAAAAUAUCACCCUGUUGGGCAGACACUCACCCAGCAGAGCAGCAUGGGUGUGGGUGUCAAGGGUGGCUGGAUUUCCUUCACCAGGGUCUGUGUUUUAGCUGGAAGACAGGUAUGGCUGUAGCUAUGGAGGCACGAGCUGAAGGAGGAGGAAAGCCUGGAACAUGUCAGGAGGGAGGAGGCAAGUGGCUGUGUGAUAGAUUAGUGGAACUUAAUUUUUUUCUGUUUUUAAAAAAAAAAAUUAUAAAAAAGGGGAAUUAAUUAGCCUCAGCAGCUGGUGGGGCUGGGGUUACUGAGGGUGGAUGGGAGAAGAGUUAAAAAUAGCAGGAAGGCCCAAGUGGAAAGUUUCUGUAACAUCACAAGUCAGGCAUUUGGUGCUUACCCGCCCUGACAAGCGGGAGCCUGUGCCAGAGCCCUCUCCACCAUCCUCAGCCCUUUCCCACUGACCUCCCUGCAACUUUUCACACGACAUCAGCAACCCUUCGUUUUGCUAAUUAACCCUUUGCUUCCAGACACUGGACUUGCAUCUUGAAAGAGCAAAAUCAGCCACAAAUUGCUCAGCCUGGGAAUGUGAGGGUGCAGAGGACCACAGUGCUCGUGCUGGCCCUCCCUGGGUCCCUGCAUGUUGCUGGCAGUGUGUGGAGCCCAGAGGAGCUGUAAACCCCCCUGUGUCCAUUCCCAUCUGCAUUUCAGCUUCCCCUCCUUAAAAAUCCUCCCAUUUCCAGAGGCCCUGUGUGGAUUUCUCCAGUAGGUUGGAGCCCUAUGCUGGGACACUCUGGAUGCACAGUUUGUCCUUGGCUUAGACGGAGAUGGAUGAGGCAUCUCUGAGCAAGCCCAGCUUGCUGCACUUGUCCCCACUGCGAGAAAGCAGAUGUACCUGGCUGCUCCAACAGGCUUUCUCUUCUGUUUGUCUUUCAGGAUUGACAAUGAGAGCAGCUGAGUUCAUUCCUUCUCCCUCCCAGAGCCCAGGAGUUGUGUCUGGCUCUGCUGCUCUGGGAGGACUGGCAAGAGCUGAGUCUGCCAUACAGAGGGUGGUCUGAGGGUGAUGGAGCAGGGCUUGGGCUGGAACAGAUUUUGGUGGUAGGCAGAGUGGUCUGUGACUGUGGCAGACCAUGAGGCAUGAGAAAAUACUGCUGUGUUAACUGGGGGUUAGGUUUGGCUCUGGUUUACACUAAAUAGGAGCUGGGCACUACCCUCACCUAGGUUAAAAGUGUUUUCCUCUUCUCCUAGGUGCUUGCAUGGUCCUGGGUCCCAGAACAGGCAUCUGGGCUGACCCCACUGAAAGCCAGUGCAGGACCCUGGGGACACAGAGAGGGUGACACAGCUGACACAAGGCAGGCUUCCCUCAACCCACAUUGUGCCCCCUGAUGACAGGACUGCCAUGCAGGGAACGGGGACACCUCUGAGCACAGACCAUCUGAGCAGUCACCCUGCUCCUGCUCCUCCUCAUACCAAAACAGCCAAAGCACAAUGGCUUAUUCCCCCUCUGUGCUUUGGCCCUCCUAACUCUCCACUUUCUCAGCUGCAUGCUGGGUACUCAGCAUUCCCACCAAGGAGCUGUUACUCCUCUGAUGCCAGUCCCAUGCCCAGUGCCUGGAGCAGCCAGGCUCAGAUGAGGUGCCAAGCUGACUCCAUUGCCUUCAGCCCUUCUUCCCCCCAGGCCUGCUCAGCACCUUGGGCAUUUGCUGAUGUGAUUUUAUGGCACAAUAAAGGUGUUACUGUCA